AGUGAACGCUGGCGGUAGGCCUAACACAUGCAAGUCGAACGGCAGCACAGUAAGAGCUUGCUCUUACGGGUGGCGAGUGGCGGACGGGUGAGGAGUACAUCGGAAUUUACUUUUUCGUGGGGGAUAACGAAGGGAAACUUACGCUAAUACCGCAUACGACCUACGGGUGAAAGCAGGGGAUCUUCGGACCUUGCGCGAUUGAAUGAGCCGAUGUCGGAUUAGCUAGUUGGCGGGGUAAAGGCCCACCAAGGCGACGAUCCGUAGCUGGUCUGAGAGGAUGAUCAGCCACACUGGAACUGGGACACGGUCCAGGCUCCUACGGGAGGCAGCAGUGGGGAAUAUUGGACAAGGGGCGCAAGCCUAAUCCAGCCAUACCGCGUGGGUGAAGAAGGCCUUCGGGUUGUAGAGCCCUUUUGUUUGGAAAGAAAAGCAGCAGGUUAAGACCCCACUGUUCUGACGGUACCCAGAGAAUAAGCACCGGCUAACUUCGUG
rnacentral:rRNA from 1 species